CGAUGGUAGGAUAAUUAUUGACCUGAGGAAUAAUGUGGAUUUAUGUGGUUGUGAGAAUAGACUUUGUGUUUGUGAAUGUGAAAAUGUGAGUGUGCAUCUGUGUGUGCGCGCGGACGCUUUUCUGAACCAGGGAUCCCACUUGACAAGUUGACCUUGUCUAGAGGAGCAUUAGUGGAAAAAAACAGUGCAGCCCUGAGACAAUAGGAUGACGUCACGACCAAUGACAACGGCCUGCAGGGGGCACAAGGAUUCACUUCUCUCUUGGACACUGAGGGGUCCGGGCACGCAAAUUCUGCUCCUGGUAAUUGCGUUGGCCGUCGGUGGAAGAGCGUAGCUUCGGUGGGGUUCUGUCUGACUCUGAUGGGGUGCGGAUGUGUGGUCUGUCACUGGUGAAUGGUGUUCGACGAUGCAGGUGGAUUUUGUGACGUGCGGAUUUACAAUGAGGGAAUGCUGUGAACGGGAAAAAUGAUGAUUGACCAAAGGAGCAUUAGUGGAAAAAAACAGGGUAGCCCUGAGACAAUAGGAUGACGUCACGACCAAUGAGAACGGCCAGCAGGGGGCGCAGGAAUGCUCUUCGCUCUUAGCCUCACGACCAAUGAGAACGGCCAGCAGGAGGCGCAGGAAUGCUCUUCACUCUUAGCCUCUCGGAGGUGGUCGCCCCAGAGGGCGCUAGGAGCGCGUAUGCGUAGCGCCGCCCCAGUCAGUUUCUCUCUGGCUGUCGCGGAAAGCAGACGUGCGCUCCCCGCGCUCGCUCAGUUUCUGGCUGGCUGUCACGGAGAGCAGUCGCAUCGGUCUGUGCUCCUGCUGUGGUGAGGUGAUUUGUUGUGUAACUAAUGCUUUCGCCAACUUUGUUCCCGCUUUGUUUGCGAUUUUCGUGCCAGUGCACGUCGGGUGCUGGUUGCUGUUGUCCGGGCAUCCCCGCCAUUUUCUAUCUUCUUCUGCCUUGGGAACGGCAGUAGCGCUGGCGUGAUUCCUAAUAAUUUUAUUGUGAGAUUAGUGGAGAAAGUAACCGCUAGGGGGUGGAGCUGCGUGGCUUUAUACAGGACAAAAAAGCAUUACGAGUCAGUUUCUGCCUACCUCUCGGAUGGAGCAGUCGCAUGGUUCUGCGCUCCUGUUCUGGUGGGCUCAUUUGUUGUGUAACUAAUUCUUUUUGUUGUUAGCUAUUGAUGGUUUGCAUACUCUUGCUUUCCCAGCCUCUGCAUUAUGAGUGUUUUUCUCCUUGCAUGUCCAGAGCUGUCCUAACUUGCCCAGACAUGCCAUGAUGACGUCACAGCUGACGUCACAGGAUGUCCGGAACUGGUGGUCAUAGCUGCGAUGCUUUGCAACCUGCCUCUGUGCUCCGUCGCAGAGCGACGGUCAGCGGCCGUUCCGGACCGCUUUCUUCAAGAUGGCGUCGUUGAUCUUCAACUAAACUCCUUCGCUCCACUCUAUCUCUAUCUUUUUAUUUUAUUUUCUACCUAUUUUUUUAUUUUUAUCAGCUCAAGUAGCCGGCAACUCACACAGUGGUCUGGACACUAGUUAGACGCUCCCCAAUUAGUGUGAUGACUCAUUGAAUGAUGCUGAUUAAUGUGGGGGGUCCCAAUUAGCUCUAAUUGCUAAUUAAUGGCGUCCAGAUGACUGUGUGACUUGCCGGCUUCUUGA